ACAGCAGCCGCCGCGGGAAUACGUAGGGUGCAAGCGUUAAUCGGAAUUACUGGGCGUAAAGCGUGUGCAGGCGGUGUUGUAAGACUGAUGUGAAAUCCCCGGGCUCAACCUGGGAACUGCAUUGGUGACUGCAACGCUAGAGUGCGGCAGAGGGGGAUGGAAUUCCGCGUGUAGCAGUGAAAUGCGUAGAUAUGCGGAGGAACACCGAUGGCGAAGGCAAUCCCCUGGGCCUGCACUGACGCUCAUGCACGAAAGCGUGGGGAGCAAACAGGAUUAGAUACCCCCGUAGUCCCUGUCUCUUAUAC
rnacentral:rRNA from 1 species